AUGGUACUAGGUGUUGUCCGUGCUGCAUUUGAUGGCCAUGGUCAAAAGCCAACUCUUCCUCCUCCGGGAUCGAUUUCAUUUCCAGCUUGCUCUGCCACGGAUGGAUCUUCAGUCAUCCAUGCCGUUCGUGUUGUGCUCCCGUCGCUGGCCGUGUGUGAGUGGUGUGACCUGCACACUCUAUUGGCGGAGGAAGCAGGCAGUUGCAGGCAGAGGAAGCAGCUUGCUACUUGCAGAGGAAGAUUAGGAUUGCAUAGCACGAUUAGAAUGGCUCAUUUUAUGGUUUUGGUCUGGAUCGGUAAACCGGGAAUUGAUAUUUGUUUCUUGGUGCAGGAGCUUCAAGGCAACAGGGUUAGCAGGAUUCAUGCCAACAAAUUCUAUGAUUUCCUUCCCAAAUCUGAAAUUGUACAUGCACUCGUGUAUGAAUGUUGA
rnacentral:rRNA from 1 species